rnacentral:rRNA from 1 species
CACUAUGCUCAGCCGUAAACCUUGAUAGAAUUCUACACCCACUAUCCGCCAGGGAACUACGAGCGUUAGCUUAAAACCCAAAGGACUUGGCGGUGCUUUAGACCCACCUAGAGGAGCCUGUUCUAGAACCGAUAACCCCCGUUAAACCUCACUCUCCCUUGUUUUUCCCGCCUAUAUACCGCCGUCGUCAGCUUACCCUGUGAAGGCCUCAUAGUAAGCAGAGUCAGUACAACUCAAAACGCCAGGUCGAGGUGUAGCAUAUGAGAGAGGAAGAAAUGGGCUACAUUCCCUACCACAGGGCAUACGGACAAUGUAAUGAAAUGUAUGUUAGAAGGAGAAUUUAGCAGUAAGCAAGAAAUAGAGUGUCUUGCUGAAGACGGCCCUGAAGCGCGCACACACCGCCCGUCACUCUCCCCGAAUAAAUCCUUUCAGUACCAAAAAAGCUAAAAAAACAAAGGGGAGGCAAGUCGUAA